rnacentral:rRNA from 1 species
UGGGGGAUAUUGCACAAUGGGCGAAAGCCUGAUGCAGCGACGCCGCGUGGGGGAUGAAGGCUUUCGGGUUGUAAACCUCUUUCGCUAUCGAACAAGGCCCGCUUAGGGUGGGUUGAGGGUAGGUGGAGAAGAAGCGCCGGCUAACUACGUGCCAGCAGCCGCGGUAAUACGUAGGGCGCGAGCGUUGUCCGGAAUUAUUGGGCGUAAAGGGCUUGUAGGCGGCUUGUAGCGCCUGCUGUGAAAACGCGGGGCUUAACUUCGCGCGUGCAGUGGGUACGGGCAGGCUUGAGUGUGGUAGGGGUGACUGGAAUUCCAGGUGUAGCGGUGGAAUGCGCAGAUAUCUGGAGGAACACCGAUGGCGAAGGCAGGUCACUGGGCCAUUACUGACGCUGAGGAGCGAAAGCAUGGGUAGCGAACAGG